rnacentral:rRNA from 1 species
UACGGAGGGUGCAAGCGUUAAUCGGAAUUACUGGGCGUAAAGCGUGCGCAGGCGGUUUGUUAAGUCUGCUGUGAAAUCCCCGAGCUCAACUUGGGAAUUGCAGUGGAUACUGGCAGGCUGGAGUAUGGUAGAGGAAGGUGGAAUACCCGGUGUAGCAGUGAAAUGCGUAGAGAUCGGGAGGAACACCAGUGGCGAAGGCGGCCUUCUGGACCAAUACUGACGCUCAUGCACGAAAGCGUGGGGAGCAAACAGG